UGCAGUCGAACGGCAGCGCGGGAGCAAUCCUGGCGGCGAGUGGCGAACGGGUGAGUAAUACAUCGGAACGUGCCCAAUCGUGGGGGAUAACGCAGCGAAAGCUGUGCUAAUACCGCAUACGAUCUACGGAUGAAAGCAGGGGAUCGCAAGACCUUGCGCGAAUGGAGCGGCCGAUGGCAGAUUAGGUAGUUGGUGAGGUAAAGGCUCACCAAGCCUUCGAUCUGUAGCUGGUCUGAGAGGACGACCAGCCACACUGGGACUGAGACACGGCCCAGACUCCUACGGGAGGCAGCAGUGGGGAAUUUUGGACAAUGGGCGAAAGCCUGAUCCAGCCAUGCCGCGUGCAGGAUGAAGGCCUUCGGGUUGUAAACUGCUUUUGUACGGAACGAAACGGUCUUUUCUAAUACAGAAGGCUAAUGACGGUACCGUAAGAAUAAGCACCGGCUAACUACGUGCCAGCAGCCGCGGUAAUACGUAGGGUGCAAGCGUUAAUCGGAAUUACUGGGCGUAAAGCGUGCGCAGGCGGUUAUGUAAGACAGUUGUGAAAUCCCCGGGCUCAACCUGGGAACUGCAUCUGUGACUGCAUAGCUAGAGUACGGUAGAGGGGGAUGGAA
rnacentral:rRNA from 1 species